CUGAAACAUGUUUCCAAUGAGCAUAAGAAAUAAAUGGCACAGGAGAUGGUGUUCGCAUUGGAAAGAACAAAGAAUAAAUCUGAAAAGAAAAGAAAAGAAAAAAAAUCCUCGGGAGAAAGAGAAAAUCAGCAAUAUACCCUUUUACAUCAACCCAAAAAUACUUUGGAGGACACGUUAAGCCAAGAAGGAAAAUAAAAAAGGAAAGAGAAAAUGAAAUGGGGGAGGGAUCCAUUUUUGAGAAACUGGGGUGUUAAAUGAGCCUAUCACACAAAUGUGACCCUAUAUAUACACAGCUUGUGUUGGCAGUGAUGUAUAAGCUCUGAAAUGUGUUUUGAGGUAGAGUCAAAUGAUUAUCCUUGGAAUUUUUUAACAAGUUCAGUGACCACCAAGAAUCAAUGUUUACCAGGCUUAUGGUAAAUGGCAUGAAGGCUUAUGAAUGAGAAUCUGUAUAAACAGACUGACAUAGAAAGCACAUGUUAGAAUUAACAUAAAUUUUAAAGCAACUGUGCUUACAUGCAUAAAGCACUAAUGACAAGCUGGGAUUUACUGUGAGGAAACAGGAUAUUAUAAAAAACUGGGAAAGUUGACUUGAAAAAAACAAAGCAAAUCUAGAUUUUGAGCAUUCAAUAACCAAAAUUAAAAACCGUAAAAAAAAAAAAUCAUAUUUGGAAGUGGAUUGGGAUAGCAGAUUUCACACAGAGUAGAAAGAACUAGUGAACUAGAAGAUCAUAUCAAGUUAUUCAGAAUGCAACAGUGAGGGGGGCGGUGACUGACAAUAUAGGAAAGAAAAUACAAGGCAUGAGGAUUAUAGAAGAAGGAUCCAGUGUAUGUUUGAAAUGAGAUCUGGAAGUGAAAAUAAAGAAUACAGGGCUAAGACAAGUUUGAAGAGAUGACAACUGUGGACUUGCAAGUAUUAAUGAAUGAUGUCAAGCUGGAAUUAAUACUUCAAUGAUUCCUUUGGAGAACACUUUCAUCCAAUCUUCAUCCCUUUUUAGAAAUUUUUGCUCUCACAAUACUCUGUGGUUAACACAGUGCUUAUUACACUUUUUC
rnacentral:lncRNA from 1 species